GACGAACGCUGGCGGCGUGCCUAAUACAUGCAAGUAGAACGCUGAAGAGAGGAGCUUACUCUUCUUGGAUGAGUUGCGAACGGGUGAGUAACGCGUAGGUAACCUGCCUUGUAGCGGGGGAUAACUAUUGGAAACGAUAGCUAAUACCGCAUAACAAUGGAUGACACAUGUCAUUUAUUUGAAAGGGGCAAUUGCUCCACUACAAGAUGGACCUGCGUUGUAUUAGCUAGUAGGUGAGGUAAUGGCUCACCUAGGCGACGAUACAUAGCCGACCUGAGAGGGUGAACGGCCACACGGGGACUGAGACCAGGCCCAGACUCCUCCGGGGGGCAGCAGUAGGGAAUCUUCGGCAAUGGGGGCAACCCUGACCGGGCAACGCCGCGUGGGUGAAGAAGGUUUUCGGAUCGUAAAGCUCUGUUGUAAGUAAAAAACGGGUGGGAGGGGGGAAAGUUCACACUGGGACGGUAGCUUACCAAAAAGGGACGGCUAACUACGU
rnacentral:rRNA from 1 species